GAUGAACGCUGGCGGCGUGCCUAAUACAUGCAAGUCGAGCGAACAGACGAGGAGCUUGCUCCUCUGACGUUAGCGGCGGACGGGUGAGUAGCACGUGGAUAACCUACCUAUAAGACUGGGAUAACUUCGGGAAACCGGAGCUAAUACCGGAUAAUAUAUUGAACCGCAUGGUUCAAUAGUGAAAGACGGUUUCGCUGUCACUUAUAGAUGGAUCCGCGCCGCAUUAGCUAGUUGGUAAGGUAACGGCUUACCAAGGCAACGAUGCGUAGCCGACCUGAGAGGGUGAUCGGCCACACUGGAACUGAGACACGGUCCAGACUCCUACGGGAGGCAGCAGUAGGGAAUCUUCCGCAAUGGGCGAAAGCUUGACGGAGCAACGCCGCGUGAGUGAUGAAGGUCUUCGGAUCGUAAAACUCUGUUAUUAGGGAAGAACAAAUGUGUAAGUAACUAUGCACGUCUUGACGGUACCUAAUCAGAAAGCCACGGCUAACUACGUG
rnacentral:rRNA from 1 species